AUUCGGCUGAACCCAGACAUACAGGGAUACGAAGCCCAAGGUGAACAACAUAAAGUGGCUGCUUACGCAGAUGACCUCCUCUUCUUCGUCCGCAACCCCAGGACCACAUUGCCAUGCCUCCUCUCGGAAUUUGAUAAAUUUGGACGGAUAUCUGGAUUUAAACUUAACAUCUCAAAAUGCGAGGUCCUGAACAUCACACUUCCCACAGAAGAAUUCCUAUCAUUGGAAUCACAAUUCGCGUUCCACUGGUGCCACGGCAGGAUGAAAUACCU